rnacentral:rRNA from 1 species
AAGGGCACCACAAGAACGCGUGGAGCAUGUGGCUUAAUUUGACUCAACGCGGGGAAUCUUACCGGGUCCGGACAUACUGAGGAUUGACAGGAGUCUGUGUGCUUUUUUUUUAUUAUUUUUUUUUUUUAAAAAAGUAAUAAAAAAGCAACAAAAGCAUACUACAAAUAUGCUAGUCCUUUCAUGAUUGUGUGAUAGGUGGUGCAUGGCCGUUCUUAGUUCGUGAAGUGAUUUGUCUGCUUAAUUGCGUUUCUAUAUAUAAGUCUGUUUACUUGUAAUUAUAAAAUUAUUUAUUUUUUUUUUAAAAAAAAAUUUUUAUUUUAAUUUUUACUUAUGCAAACUAAGACUUUUGAAGGCAACGAACGUGACCGCAGCCCUUUGUUACCUUUAAUUGUUUUUAUUAUUAUAAUAACAAUUUAAAUAAAGGAAAACUAGGGGGACCGCUAGUUAUUUUAAACUAGAGGAAGAGUGCGGCAAUAACAGGUCUGUGAUGCCCUUAGAUGUUCCGGGCCGCACACGUGCUACAAUGAUUAUUGCAGUUAGUAUCUAAAUUAAAAAAAGCAGACUUUAAAAUCUGUUUAUUUUUAUUAUUAAUUUUUUUUCCUCCAAAGGGAUUAAUUAUUAGUUUUAGAAAUAAACACCUACAUUGAAAAUUGUAGGCAAUCAAUUACAAGUAAUGAUUACCCUUUAAAAAUUUAUUUUUAUGCGCACAAAACAAUACUUAUUAUUAUAAGAUAAAUAAUUUUUUUAAAUUAUAUAUUUUGUAUUAAUAUUAGUAUGUGCUCCAUUAGUUCGUGGUGGGGACAGACCAUUGUAAAUUGUUGGUCUCGGUCUCAACUAGGAAUGCCUUGUACGGGUCUUGGUUCAACAUACCACCCGGAAUACGUCCCUGCCCUUUGUACACACCGCCCGUCGCUCUUACCGAUGGAGUUCUCUGUGAGUUUGAGGGACUGGUAAACAUCAAAAAUGUUUGCUAUGGAAACUCAUGCGAACAGCGUGGUCUAAAGGAAAGAGAAGUCGUAACAAGGCAUCGGUAGGUGAACCU